rnacentral:rRNA from 1 species
UUCGCCCUUAGAGUUUGAUCCUGGCUCAGGACGAACGCUGGCGGCGUGCCUAACACAUGCAAGUCGAACGGACGAGGCCCUUCGGGGCCGAGUUAGUGGCGAACGGGUGAGUAACGCGUGAACAACCUGCCUCUUUGAGGGGGAUAACACCUGGAAACAAGUGCUAAUACCGCAUAAGACCACAUUACCGCAUGGUAAAGGGGUCAAAGGAGAAAUCCGCAGAGAGAGGGGUUCGCGUCCCAUUAGCUAGUUGGCGGGGCAACGGCCCACCAAGGCGACGAUGGGUAGCCGAGCUGAGAGGCUGAUCGGCCACACUGGAACUGAGACACGGUCCAGACUCCUACGGGAGGCAGCAGUGGGGAAUAUUGGGCAAUGGGCGAAAGCCUGACCCAGCAACGCCGCGUGAGGGAAGAAGGCCUUCGGGUUGUAAACCUCUGUCCUUAGUGACGAAGGAAGUGACGGUAGCUAAGGAGGAAGCCCCGGCUAACUACGUGCCAGCAGCCGCGGUAAUACGUAGGGGGCGAGCGUUGUCCGGAAUUACUGGGCGUAAAGGGUGCGUAGGCGGUACUUUAAGUUGGAUGUGAAAUCCCCGGGCUUAACCUGGGGCCUGCAUCCAAUACUGGAGAACUAGAGUGCAGGAGAGGGAAGCGGAAUUCCUAGUGUAGCGGUGAAAUGCAUAGAUAUUAGGAAGAACACCAGUGGCGAAAGCGGCUUUCUGGACUGUAACCGACGCUCAGGCGCGAAAGCGUGGGGAGCGAACAGGAUUAGAUACCCUGGUAGUCCACGCCGUAAACGAUGAACGCUAGGCUUUGGGAGUAUUAUUUCAGAGCCGCAGCCAACGCGGUAAGCGUUCCGCCUGGGGAGUACGGCCGCAAGGCUGAAACUCAAAGGAAUUGACGGGGACCCGCACAAGCAGCGGAGCAUGUGGUUUAAUUCGAAGCAACGCGAAGAACCUUACCAGGCCUUGACAUAAGGGGGAAGAGGCGCGAGAGCGUUUUGUCCAUUAGGACUCCCUUACAGGUGGUGCAUGGUUGUCGUCAGCUCGUGUCGUGAGAUGUUGGGUUCAGUCCCGCAACGAGCGCAACCCCUGUUUCUGGUUGCCAGCGGUUAGGCCGGGCACUCCAGGGAGACCGCCGCAGUCAAUGCGGAGGAAGGCGGGGACGACGUCAAAUCAUCAUGCCCCUUACGGCCUGGGCUACACACGUGCUACAAUGGCCGGUCCAGAGGGAGGCGAAGGAGCGAUCCUGGGCGAAUCCCGAAAGCCGGUCCCAGUUCGGAUUGCAGGCUGCAACCCGCCUGCAUGAAGCCGGAGUUGCUAGUAAUCGCGGAUCAGCAUGCCGCGGUGAAUGCGUUCCCGGGUCUUGUACUAACCGCCCGUCA